CCUANGGGCGGCAGCAGUGGGGAAUAUUGGACAAUGGGCGCAAGCCUGAUCCAGCAAUACCGCGUGUGUGAAGAAGGCCUGAGGGUUGUAAAGCACUUUCAAUAGGGAGGAAAACCUGUCGGCGAAUACCCGGCAGCUUGACAUUACCUAUACAAGAAGCCCCGGCUAACUCCGUGCCAGCAGCCGCGGUAAUACGGAGGGGGCUAGCGUUGUUCGGAAUCAUUGGGCGUAAAGGGCGCGUAGGCGGCCGAUCAAGUCGGAGGUGAAAUCCCUCGGCUCAACUGAGGAAUUGCCUUCGAUACUGUUCGGCUUGAGUCCUGGAGAGGGUAGCGGAAUUCCCGGUGUAGCGGUGCAAUGCGUAGAGACCGGGAAGAACACCAGUGGCGAAGGCGGCUACCUGGACAGGUACUGACGCUGAAGCGCGAAAGCUAGGGGAGCAAACAGGAUUAGAUACCCCGNUANUC
rnacentral:rRNA from 1 species